rnacentral:lncRNA from 1 species
AGGCUGGCUGGCUGGGAAAGGUCUGGCUCAGGAGUCACUGGGGAAGCAGCCUGCAGGUGUUGGAUCUCACUUACCUGCACCUGUCUAGAGGGAGUGAGGAAAGGCCAGUGAAGUGUCAGAAUGGGGUCGUCAUCCUAAGUACAAGCACAGACCUUUGGGAUAAUGAACUGAGCAUGAGGAUUAUGAACAUCUUAUGAAGGCCCGUAGGCAGAUGUAGGUCCCAGAAUUUCCAGAAUGAUUCUGAUUUCAUGUACUUUUUCACUUUUAAUAAAAAUCAAUCUUUUAAAAUAUAAGUAGGGGCCGGCCACGCAGCCGAGUGGUUAAGUUCACGUGCUCCCCUUCAGCAGCCCGGGGUUUCACCGGUUCGGAUUCUGGGCACCGACAUGGCACCGCUCAUCAGGCCAUGUUGUGGCCGCAUCCCACAUGCCACACUAGAAGGACCCACAACUAAAAUAUACAACUAUGUACUGGGGAGAUUUGGGGAGAAAAAGCCAAAACAAAAAAAAAAAAAGAAAAAAAAGGGAGAUUGGCAACAGUUGUUAGCUCAGGUGCCAAUCUUUAAAAAAAAUAUAUAAGUAAACAUGGUUUCAUUUUUGUAUCUUACAGAAAUAAUUUUACAAACUAGAAACAAAGAUGUCCUUUAUUGGACCAUGUGCCUUGGCUUCUGCUUCAGAGUAAGUGAUCACUCAGUCUAUGCGGCCAAAUGGGUGCAGUGUACAGGGGCAACGGCCCCGCCAUCAUGGGUUCAGAAGGAAAAAGAGAGUCACCUAGCAUCCACUGCAAUUUUCACGGCAAAUAACCUGUUUUUCUUAAUCAAGAUGGAACUCAAAUGAAAUAAAAUUAGCCAUUUUAAGAACAGUUCAGUGGCAUUAGUCCAUUCACAAUGUUGUACCACCUCUGCUUCUAUCCAGUUCCAAAACACUCUCCUCACUCCAACAUAAGAUCCCGUACCUGUUAACGCCGUGGUUUUACUUCCUAUUGCCUCCUCCUCCCAGCACCUGGAAACUACCAAUUUGCUUUCUGUUUACCUAUUCCGGAUAUUUCAUAUAAGUGGAAUCAAAUAAUAUUUGACAUUUAUUUGUGUCUGGCUUCUUUCAUUUGGCAUAUGUUUUCAAGGUUUACCCAUGUUAUAGCAUACGUUACUACUUCAUUCCUUCCUACAGCUGAAUAAUAUUCCACUGUAUGAAUGUACAUUUUAUUUAUCCAUUCAUCCAUUGGUGGACAUUUGGAUUGUUUCCACCUUUUGGCUUUUGUGCAUAGUGCUGCAUUGAACAUUCAUGUACAUGGCAAAGAGCUUUUGCUCUUCUCUUCUUUGAACACUCUUGAAAGAUAGGGAUUGGAGGAACUUCACCUGACUUCAUCCCCAAUUCCUCUGCUUAACCUCUUCAAUUUCAUUCUUAUCUCAAAUUCCAGCUUGGCUCGUCACUGAGUGGGAACUAAGACACUGGUUACACGAGGUUUUGCUGCGUCAUAGUAUGUUGUUGUAUGUAUGUGUAGGGACAUCCUGCCCGAUAAGUUUGGUAUUGACCCUGGAGACAGCCAAAAAUGCUGGAGAGAUGAUUCCUGUACCGUGGCCAGUUCUAUGAAUCCUGACUUAGAGAAUUGCCAUGAUCAUACAUGAUUUGUUCGCAGCCUAGAAGAUGUCAGCUCUUUGUGGUGACGUGACAGGUUCUCUGCCCUUCUGUCCUUCUCUUCCCACAGCUAGAGUUACUUCAGCCCACCAUGGUCCUCUGCCUCCUUUCCCACUCUGUAUAAAACCAGGAGCCUGUCGUUCUCCUAUUAAAUCCUGCAGGGCACUAAGUUCUGCUCCCCAGCACAAGUUCUUUGGGCGAGCCCCUCCCUCGAGACCUAACGUCAGCAUAUCCCAGGAGUCUCUGUCACCACACACUUCCUAUUGGCGCAAUGGUUGCUGCUCUGAGCCUUUAGUUAUCUUAAAUUAUUUCUACACCCCACUACCCCCAUUCAUGCAAAAUGGAUAUCCCCACUUGUACUGUUCAGUGUUGUUAUAGGAAUUAAAUAAGAUAUGCAAAGAACCUAGCACAGUUCCUGGCACGUGGAAGGCUCACAGGAAAUGUGAGCGGUGGUAUUAUUAUAAUCUCCCUGCUCCCUACCUCGUGCUGAAUCUCUCUAAGGUUGGCCCCUCUGUUUGGUCCGAUAAUUUUCCUUUCCUGGCAACUGUUCUUUGCCUGGAUGCUUGAUGUUGACUUCAUUCCUUUUCCCACAACUGCGCAUGUCCCCAAGUGUACAUUCCAUUUCAGUCCUCCUGUAAACUGUCCAAGUUCAGGCCCCUCCUGAAUGGCAAGUCCCACUGCCUUCUGACCUGUCAGUUUCAGAUGGUUCGCUUGUUAACACAACGGUAGAAGGAAUAAAGGACUCCUCAGGUGAUCCAACCAACUUCUUAUUUGCGAGGUUAAAAUUUUAAGCCAACUCUUGUGUUGAACGCCUUCUCAUUAUGACUUGGAAGCAACUAGAUCUCUGUGGAAGCAGUCUCAAAUACCGUGCUAAAUGUGCAAUUUUCUUGAGCAUACCUGUGGCAAAUCUGCCUUUCUCAAAGCCAAUCUGAGGAAGGAUCAAGAGAGACAACAUUUCAUUUGGCAUCGUUAUCAAGUAUAGGAAAUGAUUGCAAAAGUUGUGUGAAGGAUGGAAAUGGGCCUUAUAAUCAAUAUCAGAUAAGCUGCUUUUUGUCACUCUUCUGAAUAACUGUGAUCAAAGCUGACACAAAACCAGAUCAAGCUUUUAUUAUUUCUCAAUUAUACGUAAAGAACUGGGAUGGAAAGUCUUUUUGAAUGCUGCAAGUAAAAUCUUCCAGGCCGAAGGUUUGGGUAAUAAUAGGCAUGCUUUUACAGUCCUUUCUAGUUUACAAACAGCAUUGUAUUUCGUCCUCACAGUACCUGAGGGGAGCACAGCCCACACUUGCUCCAGUAAUGGAAUGUGUGUAAACCUGUGUCUCCAUGCAACUAAUUCUUAAUCAUCAGUAGUGAGCACUUUGUGUGUGCAUAUACACAGAGAGAGUGAGAGAGAAGGGUCGGCGGAGAGAAGAAAAACAAAUGAGCAUGUCAGCAUAAGCUCAAUAAAGAAUGAAUUUUCAUGGGAAAUGGAAAAUGCACCCAGAAUGCUUGGAAGAGCUGUUAAUAUUAGUCCUUGUUAGUGUUUAGGAGAGAGAGAGCAAAAGAGGUGGGUGGGGGGAGUGAGAGAUCUGUUUAUGUUUGCCACCUUAAUUAAAACACUCUUUGGACUGUCUGUUCCCAGGAUUUCUACCGGUUCAGCCGUUUUGUUAUAUAAUGGACUCUUCUUUGUCUUCAUAUAGCUCUAAAAAUACUUGGAACAAAAUCACUCUUCUUUACUGUGAUGGAAUUGUUGCUUUUUCAUCCACCCUCACACUAAAUCUCCUUCAGAAUCUUGCUCUUUAUCUCAUCCUUGAUCCCCACCUCGAGUUACAUGUGGAUUCAAAUCCAUACAGCCCCUGUGAACCUCAGUGUCAUCAGCCAGAACACAGGGACCAUACAUACCUUCUCAAGUUAUUGAGAUGCUGCAUCAACGACAAGUGCAGUGUCUUACACCCUAAGAGGGGUCCCAUAAAUGUUCCUUUCAUUUCCUCUCUGGCUCCACCUUUUCCUCUUUCCUACUUUUUGGUAUCAUUUAGGCGAUCCUUCUGUAGAGACCAGGGGACAAAGAGACACAGGCUGCCAUCUGCCUGCCACCUCCAUCCCAACACGCCCUCAUUAAUUCAGGAGAAGCGAACUGAGCAGGAGUGCAGAGGCAGGUGCUGACCAGGUCAUGAAGUUGGUCUUACAGAGAAGAAAAAUGUGUCCGUCUCUUCCUUCAGUUCUCCCUGAACGUGGCCUCAACCCAAGUUGUAAAAUUUACUUCGCACCAUUCCCGCCAUAUGCUUUGACCCUACUUGACAAUUUUCCGACUCAGGAGCAGAGAGCCAUGCCCACCCCGCCCUCUGCUCUUGUGGUUUCCUCUAUGCAGAGGGCUCUUUCCUCACUUCUCUUUUAAAAGCCCACGCUCUUUAAAAGUUACCAUUCCCAAGAAGCCGGGCUGGCCCUUAAGCAACCCUUUUCACUGUCAUUCUCCAUGCCACUCCCCACCAGGACCUAGCCACCAAACACAAUGGAUGUGAUUUAAUUUCCCUUGAGCCCUUAAAUUGUACGUUUGCAUCUCUCAGGCAGUAUCUAUCCCAUGUUUCUACUUUGCCUUCUCCCAGCAUGUAGUCAAGGCACGACUUUGUGCUUCAGUUAUUUCGGUACCUCUGUCUAGACUCUAAGUUCGUGAAUUCCCUGAGGUCAGACAUAUCCUCCUCAUCUCUGAAGAUCCCUCUACUACCCUACUGACCUUUCCCAGUAGGGGCUAAAAUAUUUAUUGAAUUCAAUUGAAUUGAACUUAUUUCCCCUUAUUUUAGAGGAAGCUUAAAGGAGUAGGGUCCCUAGAGUUGUCAGAUAAAACACAGGAUGCCUGUUAAAUUUGAAUCUCGGAUAAACAAUAAGUAAUUUUUAGUAUAAGUAUUUCUCACAUAUUACAUGGGAUAUACUUAUACUAAAAAUUUAUUUGUUGUUUAUCUAAAACUCAAAUUUAACUGAAUAGCCCAUAUUUUUAUUUGCUAAAUCUGGCAACUCUAACUGGGAACCAUGUGGCAAAAGGCAACAAAGGGGGAAGAGAUCAUAUUUAAUGGAAGCAUUUUGGAGGGAUAGAUUCAAAGUCAAGGCAGAUUUUGACACUAUCCUGAGACGACUGCCAUGACGUUCAUACUAACCCUCUCCAUCCAUCGCCAGCACUCAUCUCUUCAACAGUAGCAUCAACACUCGUCUGGGAGACACACAGCUGUCUGUGCCCUGGAGAAGCCCCUCCAGUGAAGUCCACAGGUGGUCCUGAAGCCUGCCACACCCUUGCUCCUCCCUCGCACGUUCUCUGAGCCAGACCCCUGGAUCCCACGAUGGAAAAGAAUCAGGGAGGAAGAUUAGCCCUGAGCUAACUGCUGCCAAUCCUCCUCUUUUUGCUGAGAAAGACUAGCCCUGAGCUAACAUCCGUGCCCAUCUUCCUCUACUUUAUAUGUGGGAUGCCUAGCACAGCAUGGCUUUCACCAAGCGGUGAAACCAAGCCAUGUCUGCACCUAGAAUCUGAACCGGCCAACCCUGGGCGGCCAAGAAGCGGAAUGUGCAAACUUAACUGCUGUGCCACUGGGCCGGCCCCGUCUUUAAUCCAUUUUGAGUUUAUUUUUGUAUAUAUGAUCCAGCAUUACCAUUUCUGGAUAUUUAUUCAAAGAAAAUGAAAACACUAAUUUGAAAAGAAUCUGCACCAUUGUGUUCAUUGCAGCAUUAUUUACAAUAGACAAGAUAUGAAAGCAACCUAAGUGCCCACUGAUGGACGAAUGGAUAAAGAAGACAUGGUAUAUACAUACAAUGGAAUAUUACUCAGCCAUAAAAAAGAAUGGAAUCCUCCCAUUUGCAACACCAUGGAUGCAUCUAGAGGGUAUUAUGCUAAGUGAAAUAACCAGGGAAAGAAGAACACUGUAUGAUUUCACUUAUAUGUGGAAUCUAAAAAGAAACAAAACAAAUGAACAAACAAAAGAAAACAGAAACAGACUCACAGACACAGAGAGCAAAUUGGUGGUUGCCAGAGAGGAUGGGGAAUGGCGGGAAGGUGUAGAGAAACAGGUGUGGGGGAUAAGAGGUACAAACUUCCAGUCAUGAAAGAAAGAAGUUGUGAGGAUGUAAUAUACAGCAUAGGGAAGACAGUCAGCAACAUUGUAAUAACUCUGUAUGGUGACAGAUGGUAACUAGUCUUAUCAGGGGGAUUGCUUUUUGAUGUAAAUAAAUGUUGAAUCGCUAUGUUGUACACCUGAAACUAGUACAAUCUUGUACGUCAACUAUACUUCAAUAAAAACAAACAAGCAAACAACACAAAAGAGUGCGUGCUUUAAACUCUCGGCAAGGCGCGGGC